rnacentral:miRNA from 1 species
GAAGGUUCCAAACUCAAUUUCAGAUGGAGGCAUACUCCCCAUCUGAAAUAAUAAUAAAAUAUUAUAUAAUAUAUAAUAUUAUUUCAGAUGGGGGACAUGGCUCUAUCUGAAAUUGAGUGUGGAACCUUC